rnacentral:rRNA from 1 species
GGUGAACGCUGGCGGUGUGCUUAAGACAUGCAAGCCGAACGGCAGUCUUCGGACUGUAGUGGCGCACGGGUGAGUAACGCGUAACUGACCUACCCCAAAGUCGCGGAUAACGAUUCGAAAGAAUCGCUAAUACGUGAUGUGCUGUCAGAUUGUGUUCGGCAAGUAAAGAUUGAUUGCUUUGGGAUGGGGUUGCGUUCCAUCAGCUAGUUGGUGGGGGAAAGGCCCACCAAGGGGACGAGGGAUCGCCGGCCUGAGAGGGUGCCCGGCCACAGGCGCACUGGGACACGGGUCCCACGACUACGGGAGACAGCAGUUAGGAAUCUUCCACAAUGGGCGAAAGCCUGAUGAGGCGACGCCGCGAGAGGGAUGAAGGUCUUCGGAUCGUAAACCUCUGAAUCAGGGACGAAAGACACUUCGGUGGGAUGACGGUACCUGAGUAAUAGCACCGGCUAACUCCGUGCCAGCCGCCGCGGUAAAAC